CUAAGAACCAAAGGAGAAGGGCAUGCUUCUGACCAUGGUCUUUUACUUUUGAAAACUGAAGGAUCUAAGAUAUCUCCUCUUGUUCAGGAAGUGAGAGCAGAAUCAGACAGAAAAGAUGAACACAGUGAGAAAGAAUAAAUUGGAAGAAGUGAACUCGAGAUCCAACUUGGUCUUCAAAUGGCCAGUGGAUUACACCAACGCCCUUGCUACAACUCUCGUUCUGUGUUUUGAGAUGUUACCUUUAGAAUCCACUGAAUGCCUGCCUGUAUGUGGAACUGUAAUAGAUUGAAUGGAUACAUUGAAGUUUAGCUUCCUGAACUUGGGCAGAUUUCUGAAAAAUCCCUGAUCUUCAGCUUCAUCAUCUAUCAAUC